rnacentral:rRNA from 1 species
GAUGAACGCUGGCGGCGUGCCUAAUACAUGCAAGUCGAGCGAAUGGAUUGAGAGCUUGCUCUUAUGAAGUUAGCGGCGGACGGGUGAGUAACACGUGGGUAACCUGCCCAUAAGACUGGGAUAACUCCGGGAAACCGGGGCUAAUACCGGAUAACAUUUUGAACCGCAUGGUUCGAAAUUGAAAGGCGGCUUCGGCUGUCACUUAUGGAUGGACCCGCGUCGCAUUAGCUAGUUGGUGCGGUAACGGCUCACCAAGGCAACGAUGCGUAGCCGACCCGGGAGGGGGAUCGGCCACACUGGGACUGGGAGACGGCGAAGACUCCUGCGGGGGGGAGCAGUAGGGAAUCUUCCGCAAUGGACGAAAGGCUGACGGAGCAACGGCGCGUGAGUGAUGAAGGCUUUCGGGUCGUAAAACUCUGUUGUUAGGGAAGAACAAGUGCUAGUUGAAUAAGCUGGCACCUUGACGGUACCUAACCAGAAAGCCACGGCUAACUACGUGCCAGCCGCCGCAGUAA